rnacentral:rRNA from 1 species
GAUAGGUGGGAGGCUUUGAAGCGCAGUCGCUAGAUUGCGUGGAGCCGUCCUUGAAAUACCACCCUUGUAGUGUUGAUGUUCUAACGUCGACCCCUUAUCGGGGUUGCGGACAGUGCCUGGUGGGUAGUUUGACUGGGGCGGUCUCCUCCCAAAGCGUAACGGAGGAGCACGAAGGUGGGCUAAUCACGGUUGGACAUCGUGAGGUUAGUGCAAUGGCAUAAGCCCGCUUGACUGCGAGAAUGACAAUUCGAGCAGGUGCGAAAGCAGGUCAUAGUGAUCCGGUGGUUCUGAAUGGAAGGGCCAUCGCUCAACGGAUAAAAGGUACUCCGGGGAUAACAGGCUGAUACCGCCCAAGAGUUCAUAUCGACGGCGGUGUUUGGCACCUCGAUGUCGGCUCAUCACAUCCUGGGGCUGAAGUCGGUCCCAAGGGUAUGGCUGUUCGCCAUUUAAAGUGGUACGCGAGCUGGGUUUAGAACGUCGUGAGACAGUUCGGUCCCUAUCUGCCGUGGGCGUUGGAGAAUUGAAAGGGGCUGCUCCUAGUACGAGAGGACCGGAGUGGACGAACCUCUGGUGUUCGGGUUGUGUCGCCAGACGCAUUGCCCGGUAGCUAAGUUCGGGAUCGAUAACCGCUGAAAGCAUCUAAGCGGGAAGCGAGCCUUGAGAUGAGUUCUCCCUGAUACUUUAAGUAUCCUAAAGGGUUGUCGUAGACUACGACGUUGAUAGGCAGGGUGUGUAAGCGUUGUGAGGCGUUGAGCUAACCUGUACUAAUUGCCCGUGAGGCUUAACCAUACAACACCC